AUUGAACGCUGGCGGCAUGCUUUACACAUGCAAGUCGAACGGCAGCGCGGGCUUCGGCCUGGCGGCGAGUGGCGAACGGGUGAGUAAUGCAUCGGAACGUGCCCAGUAGUGGGGGAUAGCCCGGCGAAAGCCGGAUUAAUACCGCAUACGACCUGAGGGUGAAAGCGGGGGACCGAAAGGCCUCGCGCUAUUGGAGCGGCCGAUGUCGGAUUAGCUAGUUGGUGGGGUAAAGGCCUACCAAGGCGACGAUCCGUAGCUGGUCUGAGAGGACGACCAGCCACACUGGGACUGAGACACGGCCCAGACUCCUACGGGAGGCAGCAGUGGGGAAUAUUGGACAAUGGGGGCAACCCUGAUCCAGCCAUGCCGCGUGCGGGAAGAAGGCCUUCGGGUUGUAAACCGCUUUUGUUCGGGAAGAACUCCUCUGGGCUAAUACCCCGGGGGGAUGACGGUACCGGAAGAAUAAGCACCGGCUAACUACGUG
rnacentral:rRNA from 1 species